rnacentral:lncRNA from 1 species
GAAAAUGCUUUGUUGCCUAUGGCAUUCCGAUCCUAGUUGGGCCAGCUCUAUAUCUUCUGCUCCAAAUAAUUAGAGUUUGAUUACCCAUUUCUUAAGAGAUUAUUGUCAUUACUUAAUACAGUCGAUGGGUUAAUUAUACUUCAAAGUGUAAUCUUCUUGCCCUGUCCUUUUUUUUGUUUGGGUUAGAAGGCCACUGGGUUCAUAAGUUGACAGCAGACUAAUAAUUCCUCUCCUCCCUUGAGAAAACAACAUUCAAUUUCAGGUUACUUGGUAUUACCAACUAGAAUAACUGGCAUCCCCAACAGAAGUUACUUUCUAGUGGCAUUUCCAUUCUCUCCCUCCCAUUAUACCUGGGGAUGGGCCCUCAUGAAGGGAGAAACUCACUAUUUAGGCUUCGUGAGGAAACGGGCCAGGAUAUAAGCCUUUUCUUUUAUUUCUUUCCUUUUCUCUUUACAGGGAUACUAGUUUAAAGUCCGC